GACGGAGGAUGCAAGUGUUAUCCGGAAUCACUGGGCGUAAAGCGUCUGUAGGUCGUUCAAUAAGUCAACUGUUAAAUCUUGAGGCUCAACUUCAAAAUCGCAGUCGAAACUAUUAAACUAGAGUAUAGUAGGGGUAAAGGGAAUUUCCAGUGGAGCGGUGAAAUGCGUAGAUAUCGGGAGGAACACCAGUGGCGAAGGCGACUACCUGGCCUGUUCUUGACGCUGAGGCGCGAAAGCUAGGGGAGCAAACGGG
rnacentral:rRNA from 1 species